rnacentral:rRNA from 1 species
GAUGAACGCUGGCGGCGUGACUAAUUCCUGCAAGUCGAGCGACGCGGGGACGGGUGCGAAACACGUGGCUAACCUCUUAUAAGAGUGGGAUAACCUCGGGAAACCGGAGCUAAACCGGAUGCUUAUAGAUGGAUCCGCGCUGCAUUGGCUAGCUGGUAAUGUAACGGCUUACAAAGGCAACGAUGCAUAGCCGACCUGAGAGGGGUAUCGCCCACAGCGGAUCUGAGCCACGGUCCAGACUCCGACGGGAGGCAGCAGUAGGGAAUCUUCCGCAAUGGGCGAAAGCCUGACGGAGCAACGCCGCGUGAGUGAUGAAGGUCUUCGGAUCGUAAAACUCUGUUAUUAGAGAAGCGGCACCUAAUCAGAAAGCCCCAGCUAACUACGUGCCAGCAGCCGCGGUAAUUC